UUGCACCUUGUAUAGAAGGUCAUGCCUCGUUCUGGUGGCAUGGCCAUUUUCUAGGAUGCGUAAAGGAAUAGCUGUUAAUUCAGUAAGCGGCCAGACAACCGUUGGGAUAGAUCCACUGUUGUUGCGGUUUUUUCUCUCCGCUCUCAACUACUAAAUAUAUCCCACAUUU
rnacentral:snoRNA from 1 species